rnacentral:rRNA from 1 species
AGCGAACGCUGGCGGCAGGCCUAACACAUGCAAGUCGAACGAACUCUUCGGAGUUAGUGGCGGACGGGUGAGUAACACGUGGGAACGUGCCUUUAGGUUCGGAAUAACUCAGGGAAACUUGUGCUAAUACCGAAUGUGCCCUUCGGGGGGAAGAUUUAUCGCCUUUAGAGCGGCCCGCGUCUUAUUAGCUAGGUGGUGGGGUAAUGGCUCACCAAGGCGACGACCAGUAGCUGGUCUGAGAGGAUGAUCAGCCACAUGGGGACUGAGACGCGGCCCAGACUGCGACGGGAGGCAGCAGUGGGGAAUAUUGCACAAUGGGAGAAAGCCUGAUGCAGCGACGCCACGGGGGUGAGGACGGCCUGCGGGUUGUAAACUCCGUUCGCUAGGGACGAAGCUUUUUGUGACGGUACCUAGAGAAGAAGCACCGGCUAACUACGUG